rnacentral:rRNA from 1 species
GGGUACGAUCAUACCAAGGAUAAUGCACCAGAUCCCAUUGGAAAUCCGUAGUUAAGCAGGCUUGGACUAGAGUAGUACUGGGAUGGGUGACCUCCUGGGAAGUCCUAGUGGGUCACCUUCC